GCCCGGGCGCCCCGCGGCGCCGCCCCCUGGGCCAAUAGGCGCCCGGGCAGCGGCGCCGCGUGUGGCACGAGCAGGGAAACUCAGGGCGGGCGCAAUUGCAGCCCGGGGAAGGUGUCUGAGGUCGGGAGGCGUGAGAGCCCGGAGCCGGAGCCUGAAGUCCGACGGGAAGAUGGCGCUAAGAAUGCUGCAGAAGGCCGGCCGCGCGGCCGCCGCUGCUGCUGCAAGAGCCGGAGCCGGAGUCGGAGCCGGAACCGGAGCGGGGCUCCUGCGCAAUCUGAAAUUCUCUCUGGCAGUGAAUGUUUUCAAGAUUGGUUAUUGUUCUUCAGUUAAUCACAAGUACACUCCGAGGAGGGCAGUACUGUAUGUUCCUGGAAAUGAUGAGAAGAAAAUACAGAAAGUACCAUCACUGAAUGUAGACUGUGCUGUAUUAGACUGUGAAGAUGGUGUGGCUAUGAACAAAAAGGAGGAAGCAAGGCUGAGAAUAGUGAAGACUCUCGAGGAGUUUGAUUUGGGCCCUACUGAAAAGUGUGUAAGGAUCAACGCAGUCUCUAGUGGUCUUGCUGAGAAAGAUUUGGAGGUCCUGCUGCAAUCCCAGGUCCUCCCUUCCAGCCUGAUGCUGCCAAAGGUUGAAAAUCCUGAAGAAAUACGAUGGGCUGUCUGCGAAGAAACAUUGAAGACUGGAUCUCGAGCUGGUCUUCAUCUAGAUGCAGUCGUUUUUGGAGGAGAGGAUUUCCGGGCUAGCAUAGGUGCAACAAGUAGUAAGGAAACUCAAGAUAUUCUCUAUGCCCGGCAAAAGAUUGUCGUUAUAGCAAAAGCCUUUGGUCUACAAGCCAUAGAUCUUGUAUAUAUCGACUUUCGAGAUGAAGAUGGACUCCGCAGGCAGUCAAGAGAGGGAGCCAUCAUGGGCUUUACUGGUAAGCAGGUGAUCCACCCAAACCAAAUUGCAGUGGUCCAAGAGCAGUUUUCUCCAACGAGUGAAAAAAUUAAGUGGGCCGAAGAACUGAUUUCAGCUUUUAAAGAACAUCAACAAUUAGGAAAGGGAGCCUUUACUUUCCAUGGGAGUAUGAUAGACAUGCCAUUACUGAAGCAGGCACAGAACAUUGUUACGCUUGCCACAGCCAUCAAGAAAAAAUGAUCUGCUAAAAGAAACUCUCCCCAGGCUAAAGGGUAUUGAAGCCGCCGAGGAUCAACUUGUGGUUGCCAGAGGACGCCAAUGAAGUUUGAAACACCAACAAUCAGAGAUUUUGUUUCUGUUCCUCAUUAAAUCAUGAGCUUUUGUGUCCAGACUCUGAACGACUGUUCUUUAAGAAAUUAACAGAAUGGGAAGUUUUAAACUCUGCACCAACCUUUUCAUGACCUACACAGCAGCAAUGCUGCUGCACUUAGACAAACACCACGGGGAAGGCUGUUCUGUUUAUUUAAAUUUGUAAAUAGAAAACAGUUGUUUUUUAGUUUCAUUUUUCCCCAGACCACCCCCUCCUUCUCCCCAUGUCCCUUUUGCAUAUGUCCUAUAAGGCCCCUACGACACCUCCCAACCAAGGGCUUCCCUGGUUCUCCCUGUUGAAUUGGCUAUUUUAAUAAUUUUCACUCAAAGAGGUUUCUGACAGAAACGAGGAUAUGAAUAAAAGUUGCAAAAUGAGCA
rnacentral:lncRNA from 1 species